rnacentral:rRNA from 1 species
UGGGGAAUUUUGGACAAUGGACGCAAGUCUGAUCCAGCCAUGCCGCGUGCGGGAAGAAGGCCUUCGGGUUGUAAACCGCUUUUGUCAGGGAAGAAACGAGUUUCUCUAAUACAGAGACUUAAUGACGGUACCUGAAGAAUAAGCACCGGCUAACUACGUGCCAGCAGCCGCGGUAAUACGUAGGGUGCAAGCGUUAAUCGGAAUUACUGGGCGUAAAGCGUGCGCAGGCGGUUAUAUAAGACAGAUGUGAAAUCCCCGGGCUCAACCUGGGAACUGCCUUUGUGACUGCAUAGCUAGAGUACGGUAGAGGGGGAUGGAAUUCCGCGUGUAGCAGUGAAAUGCGUAGAUAUGCGGAGGAACACCGAUGGCGAAGGCAAUCCCCUGGACCUGUACUGACGCUCAUGCACGAAAGCGUGGGGAGCAAACG